rnacentral:rRNA from 1 species
UACAGAGGUCUCAAGCGUUUGUUCGGAUUCAUUGGGCGUAAAGGGUGCGUAGGCGGCGCGGUAAGUCGGGUGUGAAAUCUCGGAGCUUAACUCCGAAACUGCAUUCGAUACUGCCGUGCUUGAGGACUGGAGAGGAGACUGGAAUUUACGGUGUAGCGGUGAAAUGCGUAGAUAUCGUAAGGAAGACCAGUGGCGAAGGCGGGUCUCUGGACCUUACCUGACGCUGAGGAGCGAAAGCGUGGGGAGCAAACAGG